GACGAACGCUGGCGGCGUGCUUAACACAUGCAAGUCGAGCGGUAAGGCCCUUUCGGGGGUACACGAGCGGCGAACGGGUGAGUAACACGUGGGUGACCUGCCCUUAGCUCUGGGAUAAGCCUGGGAAACUGGGUCUAAUACCGGAUAUGACUCCAUGACGCAUGUUGUGGGGUGGAAAGCCUUGUGCGGCUGAGGAUGGGCCCGCGGCCUAUCAGCUUGUUGGUGGGGUGAUGGCCUACCAAGGCGACGACGGGUAGCCGGCCUGAGAGGGCGACCGGCCACACUGGGACUGAGAUACGGCCCAGACUCCUACGGGAGGCAGCAGUGGGGAAUCUUGCGCAAUGGGCGAAAGCCUGACGCAGCGACGCCGCGUGAGGGAUGACGGCCU
rnacentral:rRNA from 1 species